rnacentral:rRNA from 1 species
GACGAACGCUGGCGGCGUGCUUAACACAUGCAAGUCGAACGGAAAGGCCCUGCUUUUGUGGGGUGCUCGAGUGGCGAACGGGUGAGUAACAAGUGAGUAACCUGCCCUUGACUGUGGGAUAACUUCAGGAAACUGGGGCUAAUACCGGAUAGGAGCUCCUGAUGCAUGGUGGGGGUUGGAAAGUUUGGGCGGUUGGGGGUGGACUCGCGGCUGAUCAGCUUGUUGGUGGGGUAGUGGCUAACCAAGGCAUUGGCGGGUAGCCGGCCUGGGAGGGUGACCGGCCACAUUGGGACUGCGGUACGGCCCAGACUCCUACAGGAGGCAACGGUGGGGAAUAUUGUACAAUGGGCGGGAGCCUGAUGCAGCAAUGCCGCGUGCGUGAUGACGGCCUUCGGGUUGUAAACCGCUUUCGCCUGUGACGAAGCGUUAGUGACGUUAAUGGGUAAAUAAGCACCGGCUAACUACGUG